AACGAACGCUGGCGGCAGGCCUAACACAUGCAAGUCGAGCGAGGACUUCGGUCCUAGCGGCGGACGGGUGAGUAACGCGUGGGAACGUGCCCUUUGCUUCGGAAUAGCCCUGGGAAACUGGGAGUAAUACCGGAUGAGCCCUUUGGGGGAAAGAUUUAUCGGCGAAGGAUCGGCCCGCGUUGGAUUAGGUAGUUGGUGGGGUAAUGGCCUACCAAGCCGACGAUCCAUAGCUGGUUUGAGAGGAUGAUCAGCCACACUGGGACUGAGACACGGCCCAGACUCCUACGGGAGGCAGCAGUGGGGAAUCUUAGAAAAUGGGGGAAACCCUGAUCUAGCCAUGCCGCGUGAGCGAUGAAGGCCUUAGGGUUGUAAAGCUCUUUCAGCUGGGAAGAUAAUGACGGUACCAGCAGAAGAAGCCCCGGCUAACUCCGUG
rnacentral:rRNA from 1 species